rnacentral:rRNA from 1 species
UACGUAGGGGGCAAGCGUUGUCCGGAUUUAUUGGGCGUAAAGAGCGUGUAGGCGGCUUUACAGGUCCGUUGUGAAAACUCGAGGCUCAACCUCGAGACGCCGGUGGAAACCGUAAAGCUAGAGUCCGGAAGAGGAGAGUGGAAUUCCUGGUGUAGCGGUGAAAUGCGCAGAUAUCAGGAGGAACACCCGUGGCGAAAGCGGCUCUCUGGGACGGUACUGACGCUGAGGAGCGAAAGCCAGGGGAGCAAACGGGG